rnacentral:rRNA from 1 species
AUACGUAGGGGGCGAGCGUUGUCCGGAAUGAUUGGGCGUGAAGGGCGCGUAGGCGGCCCGGUAAGUCUGGAGUGAAAGUCCUGUUUUUAAGAUGGGAAUUGCUUUGGAUACUGUCGGGCUUGAGUGCAGGAGAGGUAAGUGGAAUUCCCAGUGUAGCGGUGAAAUGCGUAGAGAUUGGGAGGAACACCAGUGGCGAAGGCGACUUACUGGACUGUAACUGACGCUGAGGCGCGAAAGUGUGGGGAGCAAACAGGAUUAGAUACCCUGGUAGUCCACACUGUAAACGAUGAAUGCUAGGUGUAGGGGGUAUCGACCCCUUCUGUGCCGCAGUCAACACAAUAAGCAUUCCGCCUGGGGAGUACGGCCGCAAGGUUGAAACGCAAAUGAAUUGACG